AUUGAACGCUGGCGGCAGGCUUAACACAUGCAAGUCGAGCGGAGAUGAGGUGCUUGCACCUUAUCUUAGCGGCGGACGGGUGAGUAAUGCUUAGGAAUCUGCCUAUUAGUGGGGGACAACAUUCCGAAAGGAAUGCUAAUACCGCAUACGUCCUACGGGAGAAUGCAGGGGAUCUUCGGACCUUGCGCUAAUAGAUGAGCCUAAGUCGGAUUAGCUAGUUGGUGGGGUAAAGGCCUACCAAGGCGACGAUCUGUAGCGGGUCUGAGAGGAUGAUCCGCCACACUGGGACUGAGACACGGCCCAGACUCCUACGGGAGGCAGCAGUGGGGAAUAUUGGACAAUGGGGGGAACCCCGAUCCAGCCAUGCCGCGUGUGUGAAGAAGGCCUUAUGGUUGUAAAGCACUUUAAGCGAGGAGGAGGCUACUGAGACUAAUACCCUUGGAUAGUGGACGUUACUCGCAGAAUAAGCACCGGCUAACUCUGUGCCAGCCGCCGCCGUAACAC
rnacentral:rRNA from 1 species